UGCGCAGGCGGAUUGGUAAGUCAGUGGUGAAAUCUCCCGGCUCAACCGGGAAACUGCCAUUGAUACUGCUAAUCUUGAGUACAGUUGAAGUGGGCGGAAUGUGUCAUGUAGCGGUGAAAUGCUUAGAUAUGACACAGAACACCGAUAGCGAAGGCAGCUCACUAAGCUGAAACUGACGCUCAUGCACGAAAGCGUGGGGAUCAAACAGGAUUAGAUACCCUGGUAGUCC
rnacentral:rRNA from 1 species